UUCCGGCGGCGCGGGCGGCCGCUGUCCUCGCGCGACCCCGGCCCGUCCAGAGCGCGCCCCGGGCGACCCUCGAGGAGGAGCGAGGGGAGCGCGGUCCGGGCACCCGAGCAAGAAGUAGCUCCAGAAUUUAAAUGUACAUAUCACAGUCUACCGUCAAAUGUUGUACCACUUCACAUAUAAUGAUGCUGUCCAGAAGUCAGAACAAGCAGGUCCCAGUUUGAUGCUAACGACGCUGUGAUGUGGGUUGAAUUCUGGUGAGAAUCUGAGGUUCUCUCAGUUCCUUAGAGACUCGACGCAUCACCACCACUGCCUUUGGGCUUGGCCGUGGUGAUGGAUAAGGCAUCCCAGGUGGCUCAGUGGUAAAGAACCUGCCUGCCAAUGCAGGAGACA